UACGUAGGAGGCAAGCGUUGUCCGGAAUUACUGGGCGUAAAGCGUGCGCAGGCGGUUCGUUGUGUCGGUGGUGAAAGCCCCGGGCUUAACCUGGGAAUGGCCAUGGAAACUGGCGAACUGGAGUGUGGCAGAGGGGGGUGGAAUUCCGCGUGUAGCAGUGAAAUGCGUAGAGAUGCGGAGGAACACCGAUGGCGAAGGCAGCCCCCUGGGCUAGCACUGACGCUCAGGCACGAAAGCGUGGGGAGCAAACAGG
rnacentral:rRNA from 1 species